AAAUGGCAAAUAGGCAAAAAAAAAAAAACUUUUCCAAAUUCAAUGUAGCAUAAUUUUUUCAAGUUUUAAGAAUACUACAAGUGCAAGGGCCAGAGCUAUGUCAUAUCCCAAUGUAUACCUCACCAAAAGUACACGUUGAUUUCUGGGUCAAAUAUAUUGAGUAGCACAUACAAUGUGAUGACUAGACACGUGUGAAAAUGCAGAGGUUGGGCUAUGAUCGCAAAGUCUCUUUCACCUCCCAAUUCUCUGAUAUACUUAAGUAAAUGACUAUUCAGAAAAGGAAAUAAAAUGGCUUGUGUCUAUAUUAAAAAAAAAAGAGAGAGAGAGAGAGUUCCUUUUGCGGCACAGUGGAAUGAAUCCAACUAGUAUCCACGAGGAUGCAGGUUCGAUUCCUGGCCUUGUUCAGUGGGUCGGCGAAGCGGCGUUGUUGUGGCUGUGGUGUAGGUCGCAGCCGCUGCUUGGAUCUGCUGUGGCUGUGGUGUAGGCCGGCAGCUACAGCUCUGAUUUGACCCCUAGCCUAGGAACCUCCAUAUGCCCCGGGUGCGGCCCGAAAAACAAGACGAAAAGAAAGAAAAAAGUGCUGAAAGGUUGUUGCUUAGUAGACUGGGCUAAGAAUACGAGGGGAUAAGUCCAGAAACGGGUAUUACAACCAUUUGUGACAUGAGCACGUGACGGCCACAUACUCACAUGAACGCUUUGGGAACAAGGUCGUACAGGAAAGGCAGGGUGGUGCAGCAGAGAGCACACAGGCUCAGGAGUCUGCGAAACCCACUGGACUCUCCCGAGGCCACUUACCUGCCGUGAGCCCCUGGCAAAUUACUUCACUGCUCAGAGGCUCCCCUUCCUCAGUCUCUACAGAAGGUGGGACACCCCACUCCCUAUUCCACAAAGUGUCUGAAAGGAUCAGACAACCUGUGUGAAGACACCUGGUUGAGCGCCCAGCACUAAGUAGGCAUUCGAUCCAUGGCUAUUAACAUAAUCCACAAAUUAAAUGGCCAGCACUCCGAGUGUUCACCAUGAGGCCAUGAGACCCCAUAAGGCAGUGGUUCUCAAACUUCAGCACCACUGGCUGGUAGGACAGAGGGCUGGGCCGCACCUCGGAGUUUCUGGCUCCACGCUCGAGAGGGCGGCCGCGAGAUCUGCAUUUUCACCGGGUCUGAGGUGCUGCAGCUGCUGCUGCUGCUGAGAACCACGUGGAAGAGACCCUCUGCUGUAAGGAGAGGGAAGGAAAAGGAACCCGACGGUUCCUGGAAAUGUGAGAAGUCAGACAGACGACAGCAGGGCUGAGCAGAAAGGUGCCGGGUGGCACCUGAGAAAAGACCAAGACAGACAGACACAACAAGCGUGCAGGGCCGCGAGGCGCCGCCUUGGCCCCUUAAGUGUCUGUGUGGAAGAGCCUCCCCACGAGAGCCGACGGGUUCGGAAGAGGCCGCUGUUAGGCUAACUUUCUUCCGGGCUCAGCUUGCAUUUUCUGAUGGGUUCGUACAGUGACUCAUGCCGAUCCUUGAGAAGGUUAAGCACGUGGUGAAACGACAAGCAGAGAUGCGCCAACAGGGAAACGGGAAGAAAGGCGCCGAAGCAGUGAGAGCCCUUCGUAGAGCCCGAUGCGGGUGAUCCCAAAGCAUCCUCCCCUCUGCAGGCAGGGCCUUCCGACCUCCUUCCGCCAGGCGAGCGCCCGUGAAGGGAGGCUACCGGAUGGGAGAAUCAAGCCCGUUAAGCCCCACGUACUAACUUGGCACAAUCAGCCGUUCACCGAGGGAGCUAAGAGACCUCAAACACAACUCACUGAAGUCAGAGGGUAAAAUCUUUUAUCACUUUGGUUUUACAUCACUCACUAAACAUGUUCCUUAAGUGCACUACAGAAUAGUACUUAGCUACCACUGCACCUAUAUUACUGAUCUUAGUCUUUAUUUACCAACUGAAAAUUCUACAAAAUUUAUUUCAAAACAAUGGUCACUACAGCAGAAAUCACAACCAUGUAAAUCAACUAUGCUUCAAUAACUAAAAGUGCUCACCAACAGACGGUGCCUCACUCCUUACUUUUAGGUCAACACCGGUCGGAUAACUACAGCUCACACUGAAAAAAUACACAGGAUACCACCAUCCACUGCCUGCACCACUCAGAGUUCAGCAGAAAACUGCUGACAGGUUUUUCUCCAAAAAAGACCUAAGAAAUCAAGAAUUCCUAAGACUGCUCUUAAAAAGGGGGGAAGGACUGAAACCCCACCUCACAUCUCAUUCCAGAGGAAGUCUCGGCAGUAUCAGAGAGACACCAAACACAAACAAGGCAACCUCAGGAGAACAAGAAGAAACCAUGAGGACUGAAAUUAGAAGAGCUAAGCACGACCCCAAGCCCACAGCAUAUGAGAAAAGAGUAGUAAGUUUGUCUAUAAAAAUAAAAUUUCUACCCAGGGAAAACACCCCGAGCGAAAAUCCGAAAGCAACUGACAAAUGGCACCGUCUUCAACUCAGAUCACAAAUUAAGAUCUGGAGUUCCUGCCGCAGCUCAGCAGAAACAAAUCAGACGAGGAACCAUGAGGUUGUGGGUUUGAUCCCUGGUCUCCUUCAGUGGGUUAAGGAUCCUGCGUUGCUGUGAGCUGUCGUGUAGCGCAGAUGCAGCCAGAUGUGGCGUUGCGAUGGCUGUGGUGUAGGCCUGAUUGGACCCCUAGCCUGGGAACCUCCAUAUGCCAAAGGGGGGGGGCUAAUUUGCAUAAAAGAGAGCUCUACAAUAAUAAGAAAAAGAAAAAAAAAAGACCAAAUCCUAGUAGAAAAAUGAGUACAGGACAUGGACAACCCCCUUAGAAAAUACAAAUGGCUCUUGAAUAUAUGAAACGAUGCUUAUACCACUCUUCAUCUGUCAAAUUGGCAAAGAUCAAAUAAUAGCGCACUGGGCCAGAAGCAUAAAUUGGUACGACCUGUGGGAGAUAAUCUGUGCCUAUCAAAAUCACAAAUACACAUAUCCUUUGAUCCAGCAAUUCCAUUCAGAAGAAUUUAUUCCUCAGACAUACCAGCAACAUGGCCAAAUGAUCUAUGUCCAAGGUUACUUCCUGCAGCACAGUUUGCGAUAGCUAAAGACUGGAAACAAUUUCAGUGUCCAUCAAAGAAGGAACGAUGAUACAGCCACACAAUAGGACACUGUGAAGCUACUAACAGAACAAAGAGCUCUUUACACAAUGACAAAGAAUAAUCUCCAAAACAUAUUUUAUAAAACAAAACAGAAACAAGGUGCAAAACAGCACAGAUGCUAAAACUUCCAUUUUUUUUUAAGAGAGGGAAAAUAAAUGCGAUUUUAUGUGCAGAACCAUAGGCUGUCUCUGAAACACACACGGGAACUCAACACUGGUUACUUCUAAGGAUGGAUGGGGUACUAGGGGACAGAGUAUGGGAGAUUUUUCAUGGCAGGUCAUCUGAACUUUGACCCAUGUGAAUAUAUUGCCUAUUUAAAAAAUAAAACACACCUAUAAGAAGAAGUCAUAAUACUAUGUUCUAAAUGAGGAUUUUCUAAGUUACCUGAGAUAAUAGAUUCCUUUCACAGUCUAUCUACUGAGCUCUACAUGCACCAAGCACCGCGUGAGGCACUGCGUCCCAGCAGUGGAAACGGAUAAAUCCCUCCUCUCGUGGACUUUAGGAGGGACACGGCCAGAAAAAAUCAAAUCAGCAUCAGAGAGCGGACGGGAGGAUGAAGAAAACUCAGCCAAGGGGAGCUGUGGGCCCGAGGUGGGACGGGGCUCACGGAAAGCCGCUUUGACAGCAACACCUUUGGUCAGAGAUGGGAAGAGGCAAGGGCGCCAGCGCUGCGGCUGCCGCCGCGGGAAAGGAUGCCAGUCGGAAGGAACAACCCGCACAAGGGCGCCAGGGCUCCGAGGACGCAGCGCGCUCCUCUUUGAGGACUGGGACGGUGGGAGGGAGAGAGAGUGCGAGAAAAUCCCCCGGGUGGCUGAGGCGGGAGGGACCAGAUCACAAUAAGGAAUUUAGGUCUUAUUCUAAGAAUAAGAAAUGUUUAAACAGUGGAGAAUGUGUCCUGACCCAUAUUAUUUAAAGAUCACCCUGGCUGCCAUCCAGAGAAGAGACUCUAAGAGGCAGGGGAGCAGCCGAGAGCCCACCGUAAUAAAGCGAGUGAGAGAGGCCGCCUUGAACCAGGGAGCUGGAGGUGGAGCGGGGGAGUGAUCAGGUGCUGCACAUAAUUUAAGGCAGAGCCAAGAGACUCUACUGAGGCACUGGAAGUGGACUGAGAAAAAGAAAGAAGUCAGCGGUGACUCCAAAGUAUUUAGCCCAAGCAGCUUUUUUACAGGGAUCUAAUAGGUUCCUUAAAAAAAAGUCACGCGUUUCCACUGUGGCACAAAAGGACGAGAGACAUCUCCACAGUGCCAGGACGCAGGUUCGAUCCCCGGCCCAGCACAAUGGAUUAAAGGAUCCCGAGUGCCUUGGUAACGGUCUCCACUUCCACUCGGAUCUAAUCCCUGGCCUGGGAGCGCCAUACACCACGACGCAGCCAAAAAUGGGAGAGAGAAAAAAGUCAUACCUUCACACAAAGCUCAAACCCUAAAAUGGGUUAUAAACAGCAUCAGCAAAAAGCAAUGCUUAUCUACGUAACAAAGAGACCCACGCCUGGGUCCAUUC
ensembl:lncRNA